GGGCCCAAAUGGAAAAAGAGUGCGGAGUUCUACUUAAAGCCCUUGGCACACAGGUUGCAUAGCCUUUAUAGUGGGAGCGCCCAUGGAGGAUGCUCGACAUCUUGCUCAACGUUAUGCUAGAAUGCGGCAAGAAGCUGAAGCUCAGCAGGUCCACAUCUCAACCCAAAUAUAAUGACGUCAAAGGAGAGGGGAAAAUGAGAAGGAAACUCUGGAGGGUAGAGGGAAGGAAAAGGGGAAAAGGAGAAAGGGAGAAGGGAAAAGUAGAACGGGAAGGAGGAAAAUGAGAGGAAAUUUCGGAGAAUAGAGAAAGGGAGAAGGGAAAAGAAGAAAAGCAGAAAAGAAGGGAAAAGGGGAAGGAAGCUUAGGAGGCUAGAGAAAAAGAUGGAAAUGCAUAAAAAUAAAAAAAUAAAAAAGGAAAGUCGCCUUCAUCAUUAUGUCUACUAACGGAAAGGAGCAACCACAUUGUAAAUUAUAUUUUGUAUAAUGAGAAACCAGUAUUCCUACCC